rnacentral:rRNA from 1 species
CCUACGGGAGGCAGCAGUGGGGAAUAUUGCACAAUGGGCGAAAGCCUGAUGCAGCGACGCCGCGUGAGGGAUGACGGCCUUCGGGUUGUAAACCUCUUUCAGCAGGGAAGAAGCGAGAGUGACGGUACCUGCAGAAGAAGCGCCGGCUAACUACGUGCCAGCAGCCGCGGUAAUACGUAGGGCGCAAGCGUUGUCCGGAAUUAUUGGGCGUAAAGAGCUCGUAGGCGGCUUGUUGCGUCGGUUGUGAAAGCCCGGGGCUUAACCCCGGGUCUGCAGUCGAUACGGGCAGGCUAGAGUGUGGUAGGGGAGAUCGGAAUUCCUGGUGUAGCGGUGAAAUGCGCAGAUAUCAGGAGGAACACCGGUGGCGAAGGCGGAUCUCUGGGCCAUUACUGACGCUGAGGAGCGAAAGCGUGGGGAGCGAACAGGAUUAGAUACCCUGGUAGUCCACGCCGUAAACGUUGGGAACUAGGUGUUGGCGACAUUCCACGUCGUCGGUGCCGCAGCUAACGCAUUAAGUUCCCCGCCUGGGGAGUACGGCCGCAAGGCUAAACUUAAAGGAAUUGACGG